rnacentral:rRNA from 1 species
UACGAAGGGGGCUAGCGUUGCUCGGAAUUACUGGGCGUAAAGCGCACGUAGGCGGCUUUCUAAGUCGGGGGUGAAAUCCUGGAGCUCAACUCCAGAACUGCAUUCGAUACUGGAAAGCUCGAGUCCGGGAGAGGUGAGUGGAACUGCGAGUGUAGAGGUGAAAUUCGUAGAUAUUCGCAAGAACACCAGUGGCGAAGGCGGCUCACUGGCCCGGUACUGACGCUGAGGUGCGAAAGCGUGGGGAGCAAACAGG